UAAAAAGCAUCCAUUACCUUACAUCCAUAAACAGAAGUGUAGCUCUAAGAAAAAAAAAUCAAAUCACCAAUACAACUUGAGUGGUUUUCUCACCUGAGAAAUUGCAGCAUAGCGAGCCAGACCCCAGGCUGCUUCCUUAACAGCCAGAGCAGUGGGACCAUUGGGGAUGCUCACAACAGUACGCCUAAUAUGGUGUUAUGGGUUGAUAUGAUGAAAAAAUGAGCAUGAUGUGUAGCACAAGAAAAAAAAAGGCACAAAAUUAUGAAUGAUUUUGCUGUCACUGCAAAGGGCAAUGAACAAUGAACACUCACCAUUUGGCGAAACGGGCACCUUGCUGAUAGUAUGCAGCUGAGCGAGAGGCAAGACCAUCCAAACCUUGGCACCAUGACUCAUCGUUGGAUCCAGCAAGGGGAACCAAACCCUGUUGUCUCAAUUACAUAAACCAUGAUUUAAAUGUACAUACACUGCCAUAUUUUAGUUCAACAUCGAGAUUUUCACUAUGUUGAACUACAAAAAAGCUAACCUCCGAUAUCUUAUAACUAAGCAGUGUUUAUGUGAGACUUGAAUCAUCUUUCUAUAUGGACAAUAACAAAUAUCUGAAUGAUGGUACAAUUAAGCAUAAAGUACAUAUCAUAUUAACAUCCAUCAACACUCAUACUAAUUCUUUUCAUUGCUAUUUGAGGUGUUAGUAGUAACUGCAUAGCAAAGGAAGAAAAGGGUGAUUCCAAAAUUCUUACCUU
rnacentral:lncRNA from 1 species